AUACUUACCUGGCAGGAGAGAUACCAUGAUCAGGAAGGUGGUUUUCCCAGGGCAAGGCUGAUCCAUUGCACUCCAGAUGUGCUGACCCCUGAGAUUUCCCAAAUGUGGAAAAAUUGGCUGCAUAAUUUGUGGUAGUGGGUAAUUCACACUCUCCUC
rfam:Erinaceus europaeus unplaced genomic scaffold scaffold00309, whole genome shotgun sequence